rnacentral:rRNA from 1 species
AUUGAACGCUGGCGGUAGGCCUAACACAUGCAAGUCGAACGCGAAAGUCCUUCGGGAUGAGUAGAGUGGCGGACGGGUGAGUAACGCGUAGGAAUCUAUCCUGUAGUGGGGGAUAACGUUUCGAAAGGAACGCUAAUACCGCAUACGCCCCAAGGGGGAAAGCGGGGGAUCUUCGGACCUCGUGCUAUAGGAGGAGCCUGCGUCGGAUUAGCUGGUUGGUAAGGUAAAGGCUCACCAAGGCGACGAUCCGUAGCUGGUCUGAGAGGAUGAUCAGCCACACCGGAACUGAGACACGGUCCGGACUCCUACGGGAGGCAGCAGUGGGGAAUAUUGCGCAAUGGGCGAAAGCCUGACGCAGCCAUCCCGCGUGUGUGAAGAAGGCCUUCGGGUUGUAAAGCACUUUCAGUGGGGGGGAAAAGCUGGUGGCUAAUAUCCAUCGGCCGUGACGCUACCCACAGAAGAAGCACCGGCUAAUUCCGUGCCAGCCGCCGCAGUAAAAC